rfam:Aedes albopictus isolate Foshan contig105419, whole genome shotgun sequence.
GCCGGGGUGGCGCAAUUGGUCACACGUUUGCUUCAUAAGCAGAUGGUUAUGGGUUCGAUCCCAGCCCCGGCA